UUUCCGUAGGUGAACCUGCGGAAGGAUCAUUAUUUUAUAACCGAUGUGCGAGUGCUGUCGCUCACCCGAGAAGACGUGCACGCCCGAGUGCCCCCACAUUCAUCCAUCUCACCCCUCUGCGCACCACCGGGUGGGUCCCCCCUGGGCUUGCCCGGCGGGGGGCUUACGUUUUCUCACACUCUUAGUUUGCAGCGUAGAAUGUAUUUUUAGUCUUUGCGAACACGAAAUCAAUACAACUUUCAACAACGGAACCCUUGCCGCUCGCAUCGACAAAGAACG
rnacentral:misc_RNA from 1 species